rnacentral:rRNA from 1 species
UCGUGUCGUGAGAUGUUGGGUUAAGUCCCGUAACGAGCGAAACCCUUGUCUCCAGUUGCCAGCGGGUCAUGCCGGGGACUCUGGAGAGACUGCCGGUGUUAAACCGGAGGAAGGUGGGGAUGACGUCAAGUCCUCAUGGCCUUUAUGUCCAGGGCUGCACACGUGCUACAAUGGUGCGCACAAAGGGAAGCCAACCCGCGAGGGGGAGCCAAUCCCAAAAAACGCGCCUCAGUUCAGAUCGAAGGCUGCAACUCGCCUUCGUGAAGUUGGAAUCGCUAGUAAUCGCAGGUCAGCAACACUGCGGUGAAUGUGUUCCUGAGCCUUG